GCGGCCAGGCGCAGCAGGCGGCCGCGCGGCGGGGUGCCCGGCCAGGCGCUUCCAGGCGGCGCUGCAGGGUUAAAGCCCAGAAAGGGCCGGGCUGAACGUGUCCUCAGACUGGGAGGUGUCAGACUCCGAUCCUCCUCAUUGCCCCCGCAAGUAUAUCCGGAGGAUUCCUCCAAUCGCUCUCUCCUGGAAGACCACUCCCAGCACCCUACUAGGUAAAAUCCCCCAUUUCCUUCACUUUCUCCUCUCUCCCCAUCUGAACAACUUGCAUCAUUAAAUCACUCUCGUGUAUCAUUACAUCGAGGCACAAAAUGAGGCCCAGGAAGAGGCCUGAGGUGCUGGGUAUGUUCCUGUGGAGCCCAGUUACCUGCCACCCGGCCACCAGACCCCUGAGGGCUUGGGGAGGCGGAGGCUGGAGCCACAGGCAGCCAGGGCUGCAGGAGGAGGCACACUAACCCAGAAUGCUCUCCUCCCCUCCCAGCAUCCCCACUUCCAGCCCCUCCCUGGAGAGGAAGAUGAGGGGGUCCCUGCUGGGACCUUGCCAGCCCCUGUACCAGACAUGGGAGCCUUUGCCCUGCUCUGCCCAGACAGCCUCUGUGGGCUCAGGGAGCCAAAGCAGGGAUCCACUCACAAGGAUUCAGCAGAGCCCAGAUUCUGAAGCUGGAAGGAGAGGUUGGGACUUGAAAGAGAAAAUACUGUUAUCCUGUAUGAUAGUUACUGUUUUGCCAUAUUGCAUCGGGGCGUACUAUGUGCCAGACACUGCUUUUUAAUUUUGCUCAUUUAAUUCCUACAGGCCUAGGAGGUGCGUACUAAUAUUGUACCCACUUUUCAGAUGGAGACAUUGAGGCUCCAGGAGAGGAAGCCACUGCCCCAGGAGCCUAGAUCUGUUGGUUCUUUGCCUCUGCAUCACCUAGUUUCAAAUGACCCAAGCCACCUCCUGCCUCCUGGCCCUUGGGCAUCUUCCCUCCCCUGCUUCAGACCCUGGACCCUUCAGCCGCAGAGCCCAGGGGGUCCCUGUCCCUGUCCCUGUCCUGGGACACCACGCUCAGAUACCCUGGGUGGCUAAAGGAAGCAGGGCUUGGGGCUUUCUGCAGGAACAGCCAUCACACCCCAGAGCUUUCCUAGAGUGGUCGUAGGCUGAGUAGUACCUCCUCCACACCCACCCUGAACACACACACACCCAAACAGGCUGCAGGGUGUGGUUUGGAUAAAAGGAAGACAUGGCUCAAGGUUCCAGGCUCCCUGCUGGUUUUUCAAGGCAAUGAGCUGCCCCUCCCUAUGAGUAUGCCAGCACAAGCUCAUGACCCUGUCCAGCCACAGUGCCCCAGGGGUCCCUGCAGCCACCUUGCUUCUUGCCCAGAACUCAAUUCCAGCCUUCGAGGGACUCAGAGAGCGGGGAUGUUUCUCAGGGAUCUCCCAGUGGAAAUGCUGUCAGCAGCGGCCAUCAGUGGAUGAGGCUCCCCUCCCCCGGGGCUUCCUACUUCAGACUCAGACUCCCAUGUGGCAGAGGAGGGGGGUCCCCUCCCCACUGCACAGUGAGCCACACCGGGCCAUGGACUUGAGGUUCGCCUCCCUUCCCACCCAUCCCCUGCUUGACUGACACCCUUCUGCCUGGAGCAUCAUGGGAAUUAAGGAGUAGGCCACUGCCCUGCCCCUCAGAGAAGAGAGGGGAUCCGAAGAGGAGCUAAGGGCUCCCCGUGGCAUGGCCAUCUCUGGCCCAGGGGAUCUGGGGAAGGUGUGGGUGUGGAGAGUUAGCGGAAGGCACAGUAACUCUGGUUGGUGUGACCCCAAGCGUGAUAGUGGGUUUGGGGGCGUGGCUGGCCCUAUGAGCUCAUGGCCUCAGAGGACAGAGACGGCCCCUCCCCUCCAGCUCCAGGGAGGGUGGGAUGGGGUGCAGCUUCCUGUCAAGGACAGACAUGGUCUGAGAGGACCCCAGUCCCUGCCUGGAAGCAAACACUGGUCAGACAGAUACAAGGGACAUUUAGACAACAAAGCCAGCCAUGCUACCAUGAGGACUCAGCCCUCAGCCCUCACCGAGGACAAACCAUGUGGUCAUGGCCACCAGAGAGGAGUGAGGGGAGGAAAGGUGGGGAACUCCAUCUCCAAACUUGGCAUGGUCUCAGCGUUGUCGGAGGACUUUGAGGGAAGGAGGAGGAGAGAAGGACGACGACGACGACGGCCAACGACGACGACAACGCAGGGGCCCAGGUGCUCCUGCUGCCCCAAGGAGCCCGGCGGCAGGAGGCAUGGACGUGGGGGCUGUCGGGCUGGUCUCGAGUGCUCUGGCGCAGCAGGCCUCGGGGUGGGAAGACCUC
rnacentral:lncRNA from 1 species